UACAGAGGGGGCCAGCGUUAUUCGGAAUUAUUGGGCGUAAAGGGUGCGUAGGCGGCUAUGUAAGUCAGGGGUGAAAGUUUGCGGCUCAACCGUAAAAUUGCUUUUGAUACUGCAUAGCUAGAAUUAGGAUGAGGUCAGCGGAAUGUGGCAUGUAGCGGUGAAAUGCAUAGAUAUGCCAUAGAACACCAAUUGCGAAGGCAGCUGGCUAGACCUGGAUUGACGCUGAGGCACGAAAGCGUGGGGAGCGAACAGG
rnacentral:rRNA from 1 species